rnacentral:rRNA from 1 species
UACGGAGGGUGCGAGCGUUGUCCGGAAUCACUGGGCGUAAAGGGCGCGUAGGUGGCGACUCAAGUCAACGGUGAAAGCUCGACGCUCAACGUCGAGUCGGCCGUCGAAACUGGGACGCUUGAGCACUGUAGAGGCAGAUGGAAUUCCUGGUGUAGCGGUGAAAUGCGUAGAUAUCAGGAGGAAUACCGGUGGUGUAGACGGCUCUCUGGACCGCCACUGACGCUGAGACACGAAAGCGUGGGUAGCAAACAGG